rnacentral:rRNA from 1 species
AUACGUAGGGUGCGAGCGUUGUCCGGAAUUACUGGGCGUAAAGAGCUCGUAGGUGGUUUGUCGCGUCGUCUGUGAAAUUCCGGGGCUUAACUCCGGGCGUGCAGGCGAUACGGGCAUAACUUGAGUACUGUAGGGGAGACUGGAAUUCCUGGUGUAGCGGUGAAAUGCGCAGAUAUCAGGAGGAACACCGGUGGCGAAGGCGGGUCCCUGGGCAGUAACUGACGUUGAGGAGCGAAAGCAUGGGUAGCGAACAGGAUUAGAUACCCUGGUAGUCCAUGCCGUAAACGGUGGGCGCUAGGUGUAGGGGUCUUCCACGAUUUCUGUGCCGUAGCUAACGCAUUAAGCGCCCCGCCUGGGGAGUACGGCCGCAAGGCUAAAACUCAAAGGAAUUGACGGGG